rnacentral:rRNA from 1 species
CAAUAGCGUAUAUUAAAGUUGUUGCAGUUAAAAAGCUCGUAGUUGGAUUUCUGGUAGGAGUGACCGUUCCGAACUUGAUUGUUCGUGUAUUGUGUUUUCUCCAGCCAUCCUUGUGGAGAACUUUUCUUGCAUUAAUUUGUAGGGAUUGGGACCCGCAUCGUUUACUGUGAAAAAAUUAGAGUGUUUAAAGCAGGCAAUCGCUUGAAUACAUUAGCAUGGAAUAAUAAGAUAGGACUUUGGUACUAUUUUGUUGGUUUGCAUACCAAAUUAAUGAUCAACAGGAACAGUUUGAGGAUAUUCGUAUGAACAUGUCAGAGGUGAAAUUCUUGGAUUUUGAUCAGACGAACUACUGCGAAAGCAUUUAUCAAGAAUGUUUUCAUUAA